rnacentral:rRNA from 1 species
UACGAAGGGGCUAGCGUUGCUCGGAAUGACUGGGCGUAAAGGGCGCGUAGGCGGCUUGCACAGUCAGGCGUGAAAUUCCUGGGCUCAACCUGGGGACUGCGCUUGAGACGUGUGGGCUUGAGCGGGAAGAGGGUCGUGGAAUUCCCAGUGUAGAGGUGAAAUUCGUAGAUAUUGGGAAGAACACCGGUGGCGAAGGCGGCGACCUGGUCCUUGACUGACGCUGAGGCGCGAAAGCUAGGGAGCAAACGGG